rnacentral:rRNA from 1 species
CAUGUCUUUUUGAAUUUUAUUUAAAGUCUAAUCUGCUCAAUGAUUAUUUAAAUUGCCGCAGUAUUUUAACUGUGCAAAGGUAGCAUAAUAAUUAGUUCUUUAAUUAAGGACUGGAAUGAAUGAUUGGACGAGAAUAUUACUGUCUCUUUUUGAAUUUUUAUUGAAUUUUAUUUUUAAGUUAAAAAGCUUAAAUUUUGUUAAAAGACGAGAAGACCCUAUAGAGUUUGAUAUUUAAUUUAUUAUUUAAUUUUAGAAAUUUAUUUAAUAUUUAAGUAUUUAGUUGGGGUGACUUAAAGAUUAAAUAAAUUCUUUAAAAUUUUUAUUGAUGAUAAUUAAUUUAUAAAUCUAUAUUAUUAAAUUUAAAAUAAAUUACCUUAGGGAUAACAGCGUAAUUUUUCUUUAAAGCUCUUAUUAAAAGAAAAGUUUGCGACCUCGAUGUUGGAUUAAAAUUAAUUUUUGGUGCAGUAACUUAAAAAUUAGGUCUGUUCGACCUUUAAAAUU